AGAGUUUGAUCCUGGCUCAGGAUGAACGCUAGCGGCAGGCUUAAUACAUGCAAGUCGAGGGGCAGCAUGACCGUAGCAAUACGGUUGAUGGCGACCGGCAAACGGGUGCGGAACACGUACACAACCUUCCUUUAAGCGGGGAAUAGCCCGGGGAAACCCGGAUUAAUACCCCAUAGUAUAUAGAAGAGGCAUCUCUUUUUUAUUAAAGAUUUAUCACUUGAAGAUGGGUGUGCGGCUGAUUAGCUAGUUGGCGGGGUAAAGGCCCACCAAGGCAACGAUCAGUAACUGGUGUGAGAGCACGACCAGUCACACGGGCACUGAGACACGGGCCCGACUCCUACGGGAGGCAGCAGUAAGGAAUAUUGGUCAAUGGACGCAAGUCUGAACCAGCCAUGCCGCGUGGAGGAUGAAGGUCCUCUGGAUUGUAAACUUCUUUUAUCUGGGACGUAAAAAGGUUUUUCUAGACCGACUGACGGUACCAGAUGAAUAAGCACCGGCUAACUCCGUGCCAGCAGCCGCGGUAAUACGGAGGGUGCAAGCGUUAUCCGGAUUCACUGGGUUUAAAGGGUGCGUAGGUGGAUUAGUAAGUCAGUGGUGAAAUCUCCGGGCUUAACCCGGA
rnacentral:rRNA from 1 species